rnacentral:lncRNA from 10 species
UUGUUAAUUUUAUUUUUGUUUUUUAUCAUCUAGAUUUUUAUCAUGGAUUAGUCUGAAAUUUAAAGUUCUGGCCAGUCGGUUUUCUUUCAUCUUGUAGUUUUUACAGUAUUUCCACUGUGCAUAUGCAAAAUGGGUAUUACAUAACUGUAUCAUAUUUGGUAUUGAUAAUUUUUUUUUUUUUUGAGACGGAGUCUUGCUGUUGCCCAGGCUGGAGUGGAGUGCGUGGUGUGAUCUCGGCUCACUGCAAACUCCGCCUCCUGGGUUCAAGCGAUUCUCCUGGCCCAGCCUCCUGAGUAGCUGGGAUUACAGGUGUGUGCCACCGUGCCCAGCUAAUUUUUGUGUUUUUAGUAGAGACGGGGUUUCACCAUGUUGGCCGGGCUGGUCUUGAACUCCUGACCUCAGGCUAUAUGCCCACUUCCACCUCCCAAAGUGCUGGGAUUACAGGCAUGAGCCACUGUGCCCAGCCUGGUAUUGAUAAUUUAUAUUCAGAUAAUUUGUUAUGGCUCUUUAAUAUCCCACAAGGGGCUCUAAAAAGCAAACAUUCAAGAGUAUGUAGUUUUUAGACAUUAAGUUAAUUAUUU